GCCCCAGACUCCUACGGGAGGCAGCAGUCGGGAAUAUUGCGCAAUGGAGGAAACUCUGACGCAGUGACGCCGCGUAUAGGACGAAGGUCUUCGGAUUGUAAACUAUUGUCGUUAGGGAAGAGAAAGGACAGUACCUAAGGAGGAAGCUCCGGCUAACUACGUGCCAGCAGCCGCGGUAAUACGGAGGACGCGAGCGUUAUCCGGAUUUAUUGGGUUUAAAGGGUGCGUAGGCGGGCUUUUAAGUCAGCGGUAAAAAUUCGGGGCUCAACCCCGUCCGGUCGUUGAAACUGGGGGCCUUGAGUGGGCGAGAAGAAGGCGGAAUGCGUGGUGUAGCGGUGAAAUGCAUAGAUAUCACGCAGAACCCCGAUUGCAAAGGCAGCCUUCCGGCGCCCUACUGACGCUGAGGCACGAAAGUGCGGGGAUCGAACAGGAUUAGAUACCCGAGUAC
rnacentral:rRNA from 1 species